rnacentral:rRNA from 1 species
AUUGAACGCUGGCGGCAGGCUUAACACAUGCAAGUCGAGCGGAGUGAUGGUGCUUGCACUAUCACUUAGCGGCGGACGGUGAGUAAUGCGUAGGAAUCUGCCUAUUAGUGGGGGACAACAUCUCGAACGGGAUGCUAAUACCGCAUACGUCCUACGGGAGAAAGCAGGGGAUCACUUGUGACCUUGCGCUAAUAGAUGAGCCUACGUCGGAUUAGCUAGUUGGUGGGGUAAAGGCCUACCAAGGCGACGAUCUGUAGCGGGUCUGAGAGGAUGAUCCGCCACACUGGGACUGAGACACGGCCCAGACUCCUACGGGGGGCAGCAGUGGGGAAUAUUGGACAAUGGGGGGAACCCUGAUCCAGCCAUGCCGCGUGUGUGAAGAAGGCCUUAUGGUUGUAAAGCACUUUAAGCGAGGAGGAGGCUCUUUUGGUUAAUACCCAAGAUGAGUGGACGUUACUCGCAGAAUAAGCACCGGCUAACUCUGUGCCAGCCGCCGCCGUAA